rnacentral:rRNA from 1 species
AAAUUGAAGAGUUUGAUCAUGGCUCAGAUUGAACGCUGGCAGGCCUACACAUGCAAGUUCGAACGUAACAGGAAAGAAGUUUGCUUCUUUGCUGACGAGUGACGGUGAGUAAUGUUCUGAAACCGCCUGAUGGAGGGGGAUAUUAACCACAAAACGGUAGCCAUUACCGCAUAACGUCAAGAUCGAAAGAGGGAAUCUUCACACGAUGUGCCCAGAUGGAUUAGCUAGUAGUGGGUAACGGUUCACCCAGGCGACGAUCCUCUAGCUGGUCUGAGGAGGUAUAAUUCAGCCACAUCUGAACUGAGACAUCGGUCCAGACUCCCAUGGCGGCAGCAGUGGGGAAUAUUGCACUACCGGCAAGCUCCGAUGCAAGCCAUGCUGCGUGUAAGGAAGAAGGCCUUCGGUUGUAAAAUUCGGGAGGAAGGUAAAGUUAAAUACCUUGCUCACGACGUUACCUACCCGCUAACUUCGCAGCGCGUAAUACGGAGGGUGCAAGCGUUAACGUAACUACUGGCGCAACGCAGGCGGUAUGGUCGGUUGUCAGAUGUGAAAUCCUUCGGGUCAACCUGAACUGCAUCUGAUAAUUGGCAAGCUUUGAGUCUCGUGAGGGUAGAAUCCGCGUGCGGUAACGAUUCCGAGGAAUACCGCGGCGAAGGCGGCCCUCGGACGAAGAUCAAUGCCCGUGGGUGCGUUUUGGGAGCAAAACAGGAUUAGAUACCCCGGUAUCCACGUCAAACGAUGCUGACUGGAGGCGUAGCCCUUGAGGCGUGGUCGGAGUUAACGCGUUAAGUCGACCGCUCCUGUGGAGUACCGCAAGGUUAAAACCUACCGACGAUGGGGUCUGCACAAGCGGUGGAGCAUAAAUCUUUGAUAAAACGCGAAGAACCCUUUACCGGUCUGACAUCCACGGAAGUUCUGCAUGAAAUGCCCUGGGAACCGGGAGACAGGUGCUGCAUUGUCGUCAGCUCGUAUUGUGAAAUGCUGGCGUCCGCACGAGCGGCAAACCUUAGUCCUUUGUUGCCAUGGUCCGCCGUGGAACUCAGCACCGCUGGCGAUAAAUCCGAGGAGUUGUAAUUUACGUCGUCAUCGCGGUCCUUACGCGACCGUACAUACACACGUGCUACAAUGCGUACAAAAGAGAAGCGACUUCGCGAGAGCAAGCGGACCCCAUAAAGUGCGUCGUAGUCCGGAUUGAGUCUGCAAUUGACCUACGAAGUCGAAUCGCUAGUAAUCGCAGGAUCGAAUGGUGAAUACGUCCCUGGCCAUUCUCGUACACACCCGCCCAGUCACCGCUGGAGUGGUUUAAAGAAGCGAAAUAACCAGAUAAGGCCACUACCAGGAUCCAUGAUCAGUAAGUCAAAUGGUAACCGUAGGGAACCUGGUAUUGAUCACCUCCCACCUUAAAGAAGC